rnacentral:rRNA from 1 species
AGGUCUAGCCUGCCCAGUGAUAAACUUAAACGGCCGCGGUAUCCUGACCGUGCAAAGGUAGCAUAAUCACUUGUUCUUUAAAUGAGGACUAGUAUGAACGGCAUCACGAGGGCUUUUCUGUCUCCCCUCUUUAAUCAGUGAAACUAAUCUCCCCGUGAAGAAGCGAGGAUAAACUAAUAAGACGAGAAGACCCCAUGGAGCUUAAAACAAGUAUCGCUUGCACCACACUAAACCCACUAAACCCAACAAGCCCGUCGUACUAGUUUUUGGUUGGGGUGACCGCGGAGUAAAACAAAACCCCCGUGAUGAAAAGGACUACCCUUAAUUUAAGAGCCACAACUCGCAAAAUCAAUAUAUUGACUUAAAUUGACCCAAUAUUUUGAACAACGGACCAAGUUACCCUGGGGAUAACAGCGCAAUCCAUUUCAAGAGCCCAUAUCGACAAAUGGGUUUACGACCUCGAUGUUGGAUCAGGGUAUCCCAGUGGUGCAGCCGCUACUAAUGGUUCGUUUGUUC